rnacentral:rRNA from 1 species
UACAGAGGGGGCGAGCGUUGUUCGGAAUUACUGGGCGUAAAGGGCGCGUAGGCGGCCCGCUAAGUCGAACGUGAAAUCCCCCGGCUUAACCUGGGAACUGCGUCUGAUACUGGGAGGCUAGAGUGCGGGAGAGGGAUGCGGAAUUCCAGGUGUAGCGGUGAAAUGCGUAGAUAUCUGGAGGAACACCGGUGGCGAAGGCGGCAUCCUGGACCGACAUUGACGCUGAGGCGCGAAAGCCAGGGGAGCAAACGGG